CUCAGGGUCGUGGGUUCGAGCCCCAC
rnacentral:piRNA from 2 species